rnacentral:rRNA from 1 species
UACGGAGGGUGCAAGCGUUAUCCGGAUUCACUGGGUUUAAAGGGUGCGUAGGUGGGCAGGUAAGUCAGCGGUGAAAUCUCUGGGCUUAACUCAGAAACUGCCAUUGAUACUGUCUGUCUUGAAUACCGUGGAGGUCAGCGGAAUAUGUCAUGUAGCGGUGAAAUGCUUAGAUAUGACAUAGAACACCAAUUGCGAAGGCAGCUGGCUACACGAAUAUUGACACUGAUGCACGAAAGCGUGGGGAUCAAACAGG